AUUGAACGCUGGCGGCAGGCCUAACACAUGCAAGUCGAGCGGAUGAAGGGAGCUUGCUCCUGGAUUCAGCGGCGGACGGGUGAGUAAUGCCUAGGAAUCUGCCUGGCAGUGGGGGAUAACGUCCGGAAACGGGCGCUAAUACCGCAUACGUCCUGAGGGAGAAAGUGGGGGAUCUUCGGACCUCACGCUAUCAGAUGAGCCUAGGUCGGAUUAGCUAGUUGGUGGGGUAAAGGCCUACCAAGGCGACGAUCCGUAACUGAUCUGAGAGGAUGAUCAGUCACACUGGAACUGAGACACGGUCCAGACUCCUACGGGAGGCAGCAGUGGGGAAUAUUGGACAAUGGGCGAAAGCCUGAUCCGGCCAUGCCGCGUGUGUGAAGAAGGUCUUCGGAUUGUAAAGCACUUUAAGUUGGGAGGAAGGGCAGUAAGUUAAUACCUUGCUGUUUUGACGUUACCAACAGAAUAAGCACCGGCUAACUUCGUG
rnacentral:rRNA from 1 species